CCUACGGGCGGCAGCAGUGAGGAAUAUUGGUCAAUGGACGAGAGUCUGAACCAGCCAAGUAGCGUGAAGGAUGACUGCCCUAUGGGUUGUAAACUUCUUUUAUAAAGGAAUAAAACGAGGCACGUGUGCCUUUUUGCAUGUACUUUAUGAAUAAGGAUCGGCUAACUCCGUGCCAGCAGCCGCGGUAAUACGGAGGAUCCGAGCGUUAUCCGGAUGUAUUGGGUUUAAAGGGAGCGUAGAUGGGUUGUUAAGUCAGUUGUGAAAGUUUGCGGCUCAACCGUAAAAUUGCAAUUGAUACUGGCAGUCUUGAGUACAGUUGAGGUAGGCGGAAUUCGUGGUGUAGCGGUGAAAUGCUUAGAUAUCACGAAGAACCCCGAUUGCGAAGGCAGCUUACUAAACUGUAACUGACGUUGAGGCUCGAAAGCGUGGGGAGCAAACAGGAUUAGAUACCCCGGUAGUC
rnacentral:rRNA from 1 species